rnacentral:rRNA from 1 species
AAUAGAUACCCGGGUAGUCCACGCCGUAAACGAUGAGUGCUAGGUGUUGGGGACUCCAAUCCUCAGUGCCGCAGCUAACGCACUAAGCACUCCGCCUGGGGAGUACGGCCGCAAGGCUGAAACUCAAAGGAAUUGACGGGGGACCCGCACAAGCGGUGGAGCAUGUGGUUUAAUUCGAAGCAACGCGAAGAACCUUACCAGGGCUUGACAUCCCGCUGUCCCUCCUAGAGAUAGGAGCUCUCUUCGGAGCAGCGGUGACAGGUGGUGCAUGGUUGUCGUCAGCUCGUGUCGUGAGAUGUUGGGUUAAGUCCCGCAACGAGCGCAACCCUUGUCCGUAGUUGCCAGCAUUCAGUUGGGCACUCUACGGAGACUGCCGUCGACAAGACGGAGGAAGGUGGGGAUGACGUCAAAUCAUCAUGCCCCUUAUGUCCUGGGCUACACACGUGCUACAAUGGAUGGAACAACGGGCAGCCAACUCGCGAGAGUGCGCCAAUCCCUUAAAACCAUUCUCAGUUCGGAUUG